UCAGGUGGCCGCAGAGAAUAGGCCCAAGCGACUGUUUACCAAAAACAUAGGUUUCUGCUAAGUCGCAAGACGAUGUAUAGGAGCUGACGCCUGCCCGGUGCUGGAAGGUUAAGGGGAUCUGUUAGAGCAAUCGAAGCAGUGAACGUAAGCCCCAGUAAACGGCGGCCGUAACUAUAACGGUCCUAAGGUAGCGAAAUUCCUGGUCGGGUAAGUUCCGACCCGCACGAAAGGCGUAACGAUUUGGGCACUGUCUCAACAACAGACUCGGUGAAAUUGUAAUUCCGGUGAAGAUGCCGGAUACCUGCGACAGGACGGAAAGACCCCAUGGAGCUUUACUGUAGCUUGACAUUGGGUCUUGGUACUACAUGUACAGGAUAGGU
rnacentral:rRNA from 1 species